UCGGCCCCGCAAGGGACUGACUUAGUGGCGAACGGGUGAGUAACGCGUGAGCAACCUGCCUUUCAGUGGGGGACAACAGUUGGAAACGACUGCUAAUACCGCAUGAAGCAUAGGGGUCGCAUGAUUCUUAUGCCAAAGAUUUAUCGCUUCAAGAUGGCCUCGCGUCUGAUUAGCUGGUUGGUGAGGUAACGGCCCACCAAGGCGACGAUCAGUAGCCGGCCUGAGAGGGUGAACGGCCACAUUGGGACUGAGACACGGCCCAAACUCC
rnacentral:rRNA from 1 species